CACGUAGGGCGCAAGCGUUGUCCGGAAUCAUUGGGCGUAAAGAGCUCGUAGGCGGUUUGUCACGUCUGCUGUGAAAACUCGGGGCUUAACCCCGAGCUUGCAGUGGAUACGGGCAGACUAGAGGUAGGUAGGGGAGAAUGGAAUUCCCGGUGUAGCGGUGAAAUGCGCAGAUAUCGGGAGGAACACCGGUGGCGAAGGCGGUUCUCUGGGCCACUACUGACGCUGAGGAGCGAAAGCGUGGGGAGCAAACAGG
rnacentral:rRNA from 1 species